CAGUCCUAGGGGCGCAGCAGUGAGGAAUAUUGGUCAAUGGGCGAGAGCCUGAACCAGCCAAGUCGCGUGAAGGAUGACGGCCCUACGGGUUGUAAACUUCUUUUGUCAGGGAGCAAUUGGGUCCACGCGUGGGCUUAGCGAGAGUACCUGAAGAAAAAGCGUCGGCUAACUCCGUGCCAGCAGCCGCGGUAAUACGGAGGAUGCGAGCGUUAUCCGGAUUUAUUGGGUUUAAAGGGUGCGUAGGCGGAAUAUCAAGGCAGCGGUAAAAAUUCGGGGCUCAACC
rnacentral:rRNA from 1 species